rnacentral:lncRNA from 1 species
UGAAAUCUUCACAGACCGCCGGAGCACAAGCUUGAGUCUGUCGGAGUGCCGCACCGCCUUCACUCUGCCGUAGCACCUCCAUCUCGCCUGAUUCUCCGACGCCCUUCGAAAACGUCAAAUACAAGUAUGGUUAGGGUUGCAGGUCUUGGUGCGGGUUGGGCAGCUAAAGGAUUUGGCGGCGACAAGUACUAUUAGCGGCGACAUGUCAAGCAUUAGCGACGGUUUACUAGCGGCGACUCAUUAGCGGCGACAAGUCGCCGCUACUACUUUUAGCGGCGACAAAUGGUAGUAUUAACGGCGACAAAGGUCGCCGCUAUUGCCAGAAUUCUUUGUAGUGAAUAAAUCUAAUCAAAGGUUUCAUUGUUAAAACUUAAACAUUCAAAUAAAGGUCUGAUAUGUAUUAUCUUGAUGCAAUUUGUUUCCUUAAUGUUAAAGUAUAUUCUUAGUCAAGACAUAAAUACUAAAAGUUUUGCUAGCUAGCUUGUGAUUUCUCAUGUAUAUGUUAACUGUUA